GCACCACCUGAGCCGUGAAUGUGGGGGGGGGGGACGUGGGGACAGAGGGGACAUUUUGGGGGUCCCCCCCCCCCCAGGUGUCCCUGGUCCCCUGUGGGUCCCCUCACGGUGUCACCGGUCCCCAAGGGGGUCCCCAACUGGUGUCACCAGUCCCCAGGGGGUCCCCUACUGGUGUCACCGGUCCCCAGGGGUUCCCCAGGGGGCCCCCAACUGGUGUCACUGGUCCCCAGGGGUUCCCCAGGGGGUCCCCUCACGGUGUCACCAGUCCCGAGUGUGUCCCCAGUGGGUCCCCAACCGGUGUCACCAGUCCCCAGGGUGUCCCCUACUGGUGUCACCAAUCCCCAGGGGGUCCCCUACUGGGGUCACUGGUCCCCAGGGGGUCCCCUACUGGUGUCACCAGUCCCCAGGGGGUCCCCACUGGGUCCCCUACUGGUGUCACCAGUCCCCAGGGGGCCCCCAACUGGUGUCACCAGUCCCCAGGGGGUCCCCAGUAGGUCCCCAACUGGUGUCACCGGUCCCCAGGGGGCCCCCUACUGGGGUCACCAGUCCCCAGGGGGUCCCCUCACAGUGUCACCAGUCCCCAGGGGGUCCCCAGUGGGUCCCCAACUGGUGUCACCAGUCCCCAUAGUGUCCCCAGGGGGUCCCCAGUGGGUCCCCUACUGGGGUCACCAGUCCCCAGGGGGUACCCUCGCGGUGUCACCAGUCCCGAGUGUGUCCCCAGUGGGUCCCCAACCGGUGUCACCAGUCCCCAGGGGGUCCCCAGGGGGUCCCCAACUGGUGUCACCGGUCCCCAGGGGGUCCCCUACUGGGGUCACCAGUCCCCAGGGGGUCCCCUCACAGUGUCACCAGUCCCCAGGGGGUCCCCACUGGGUCCCCUACUGGGGUCACCAGUCCCCAGGGGGUCCCCUCGCGGUGUCACCAGUCCCCAGGGGGUCCCCUACUGGUGUCACCAGUCCCCAGGGGGUCCCCAGUGGGUCCCCAACCGGUGUCACCAGUCCCCAGGGGGUCCCCUCAGGUCCCCAGGGGGUCCCCCCGCAGUGCCACCAGCCCCCAGAGGGUCCCCUCCAUGGUGCCA
rnacentral:lncRNA from 1 species